CCUACGGGCGGCAGCAGUGAGGAAUAUUGGUCAAUGGGAGAGAUCCUGAACCAGCCAAGCCGCGUGAGGGAAGACGGCCCUAUGGGUUGUAAACCUCUUUUGUCGGAGAACAAAACCCGGGACGUGUCCCGGACUGCGUGUAUCCGAAGAAAAAGCAUCGGCUAACUCCGUGCCAGCAGCCGCGGUAAUACGGAGGAUGCGAGCGUUAUCCGGAUUUAUUGGGUUUAAAGGGUGCGUAGGCGGACUGUUAAGUCAGCGGUAAAAGCCCGGGGCUCAACCCCGGCGAGCCGUUGAAACUGGCUGUCUUGAGAUGUCGAGAGGUAUGCGGAAUGCGCAGUGUAGCGGUGAAAUGCUUAGAUAUUGCGCAGAACUCCGAUUGCGAAGGCAGCAUACCGGCGGCGAUCUGACGCUGAGGCACGAAAGCGUGGGUAUCGAACAGGAUUAGAUACCCGUGUAGUC
rnacentral:rRNA from 1 species